AAUUAGUCUGUUAACCAUAUCGAAGCUUUGUUCGAAUUUGAACAAUUUUCAGAAGUAGUACAACGCUACUGAAAUAUUGACUAUCAAUAUGAAUCCUUUGGAAAUUUAUCGCAUGGUCGUUAUAUGCAUAUUGAUGACUUUGAUAAUAAUUUUGUUAAUUAUACGAUUAUAUUAAUAAAAUAAUGGAAUGAAAAAGGUACCAGCACAAUAAAUAUAUCCAAAGAAGAUUAAAUGGAUAAUGUACUGUGCUUUAAACUGGCUUUAAUUGCUACAACUUACUUUGAAAUAUAUCUCAACAAGUUUCCAACUAAAACAAAGGGCAGCAAGCACUAUGUUUACAUUUCAAUUCUCACUUCGAUAGGAUUGUCAGUCUUAACACACUCAUACAUAUCCUGGAGUCAAAACUACGCGAGAAUUCUGAGUUAGUUUAAAGUGACAAACAGCCAGUGGCAAUUAUUAUUAAUGCAACAUUGCCAAUUAGGAGAAUUUGUUGCUUCUGGUGAAAAUCUGUUUGGCGCUGCAAAUGUGAAUAUGCUAUUGUCGCAAUGUUAAUUCGGCAUUUUAGUAUCUUUCUGCUAACAACUGCAAAUUAAUACCUUCAAGUAGACAAGCAUUCCGAUUAGGUCCUGUAAAAAUUUUAUGUCUUGGUUCAAAAAAUUGUAUGGAAGAAGAAUAUAUACCAACAAAUAGGACAUCAAACAAAAGUUUGCUCAGAAAACAAAAUUUUCAGUCAAAACAUCAUACAAAAUCGUGGGUCUCUUAGACCAGCCUGCGACAUGUUUUUAA